UAGCCAUGAUGCAGGCAUGAAUUCAAGAGAUCCCUAAAUCUCUCCCAAUAGUGGAAGGUCUCUUCUUCUUUUUGAGAAAAAAUUCAUAUUCUCACUCCUUGAGGUG